rnacentral:rRNA from 1 species
GACGAACGCUGGCGGCGUGCCUAACACAUGCAAGUCGAACGGGUGUCGAGAGCUUGCUCUUGACACUUAGUGGCGAACGGGUGAGUAACGCGUGAGAAACCUGCCUCUCAGUGGGGGACAACAGUUGGAACGACUGCUAAUACCGCAUAAUGUAUCCGGAAGGCAUCUUCUGGAUACCAAAGCUUUAUGUGCUGAGAGAUGGUCUCGCGUCUGAUUAGCUAGAUGGCGGGGUAACGGCCCACCAUGGCGACGAUCAGUAGCCGGUCUGAGAGGAUGAACGGCCACAUUGGGGACUGAGAUACGGCCCAGACUCCUACGGGAGGCAGCA